UUAAAUUAAAGAAUGAGGGGCCGCCAACGGGNGAGAAGNGUUUAUUGACGCAACGGAAGACCNUACCUGGUUUGACAUCCUGUGAAUUUUGAGAGAUCAAAAGGCNUUGGGAGCACAGAGACAGGUGNUGCAUGGCUGUCGUCAGCUCGGUCGUGAGAUGUUUGGUAAGUCCAAUAACGAGCGCAACCCUUAUCGUUAGUUGCCAGCACAUAAUGGUGGGAACUCUAGCGAGACUGCCCGGGUUAACCGGGAGGAAGGCGGGGAUGACGUCAAGUCCUCAUGGCCCUUAUGUCCAGGGCUACACACGUGCUACAAUGGUAAAUACAAAGGGCAGCGAGCCAGCGAUGGUGAGCGAAUCCCAAAAGUUUAUCUCAGUCCGGAUUGGAGUCUGCAACUCGACUCCAUGAAGUUGGAAUCGCUAGUAAUCGUGGAUCAGCAUGCCACGGUGAAUAUGUUCCCGGGCCUUGUACACACCGCCCGUCACACCAUGGAAGUUGAUUAUACCCGACGUCGCCGGGCUAACUUCCCUUUCUUUUAGAUAGGGAAGAGGNAGGCGCCUAAAGUAGGUGAGANGGGGA
rnacentral:rRNA from 1 species